ACGUCUAGGGCUACACACGUGCUACAAUGGCCGGUUACAAUGGGAAGCAAAGUCGCAAGGUGGAGCAAAUCCCUCAAAGCUGGUCUCAGUUCGGAUUGGAGUCUGCAACUCGACUCCAUGAAGUCGGAAUCGCUAGUAAACGCGUAUCAGCCACGGCGCGUUGAAUACGUUCUCGGGUUUUGUACACACCGCCCGUCACGCCAAGAUAGUCGGGGAUGCCUGAAGUUGUCCGCAAGGGCACCGAAGGUAGAAUCGAUGAUAGGGGCGAAGUCGUAACAAGGCACCGGUAGCGGAAGCUGUCGGUGGAUCACCUCCUUUCUAGGGAGAAA
rnacentral:rRNA from 1 species